rnacentral:rRNA from 1 species
AGUGGCAGACGGGUGAGUAAUGUAUAGGAAUCUACCUAGUAGUACGGAAUAAUUGUUGGAAACGGCAACUAAUACCGUAUACGCCCUACGGGGGAAAAAUUUAUUGCUAUUAGAUGAGCCUAUAUUAGAUUAGUUAGUUGGUGAGGUAAAGGCUUACCAAGACAAUGAUCUAUAGCUGAUCUGAGAGGAUGAUCAGCCACACUGGAACUGAGAUACGGUCCAGACUCCUACGGGAGGCAGCAGUGGGGAAUAUUGGACAAUGGGCGAAAGCCUGAUCCAGCCAUGCCGCAUGAGUGAAGAAGGCCUUCGGGUUGUAAAGCUCUUUUAGUGAGGAAGAUAAUGACGGUACUCACAGAAGAAGUCCUGGCUAACUCCGUGCCAGCAGCCGCGGUAAUACGGAGAGGGCUAGCGUUAUUCGGAAUCAUUGGGCGUAAAGGGCGCGUAGGCGGGUUAGUAAGUUAAAAGUGAAAUCCCAAGGCUCAACCUUGGAACUGCUUUUAAAACUGCUAGUCUAGAGAUUGAAAGAGGAUAGAGGAAUUCCUAGUGUAGAGAUGAAAUUCGUAAAUAUUAGGAGGAACACCAGUGGCGAAGGCGUCUAUCUGGUUCAAAUCUGACGCUGAGGCGCGAAGGCGUGGGGAGCAAACAGGAUUAGAUACCCUGGUAGUCCACGCUGUAAACGAUGAAUGUUAAAUAUGGGAAGUUUACUUUCUGUAUUAUAGCUAACGCGUUAAACAUUCCGCCUGGGGACUACGGUCGCAAGAUUAAAACUCAAAGGAAUUGACGGGGNNCCGCACAAGCGGUGGAGCAUGUGGUUUAAUUCGAUGCANCGCGAAAAA